rnacentral:rRNA from 1 species
CCUGAUCCAGCCAUUCCGCGUGCAGGAUGACGGCCCUCUGGGUUGUAAACUGCUUUUAUUUGGGAAGAAACCCUGGGAUUUAUCCCGGGCUGACGGUACCAAAAGAAUAAGCACCGGCUAAUUCCGUGCCAGCAGCCGCGGUAAUACGGAAGGUGCAAGCGUUAUCCGGAAUCACUGGGUUUAAAGGGUGCGUAGGCGGUUACGUCAGUCAGAAGUGAAAGCUCACAGCUUAACUGUGGAAUUGCUUUUGAUACUGCGUAACUAGAAUCAGGUUGAGGUUGGCGGAAUGUGACAUGUAGCGGUGAAAUGCAUAGAUAUGUCAUAGAACACCAAUUGCGAAGGCAGCUGACUAGACCUGCAUUGACGCUGAGGCACGAAAGCGUGGGGAGCGAACAGGAUUAGAUACCCUGGUAGUCCACGCCCUAAACGAUGCUUACUCGAUGUGUGAAUUAUUGCGCAUCCAAGGGAAACCGUUAAGUAAGCCACCUGGGGAGUACGUUCGCAAGAAUG